rnacentral:rRNA from 1 species
AGGACGAACGCUGGCGGCGUGCUUAACACAUGCAAGUCGAGCGGAAAGGCCCUUCGGGGUACUCGAGCGGCGAACGGGUGAGUAACACGUGAGCAACCUGCCCUUAGCUUCGGGAUAGCUCCGGGAAACCGGAAUUAAUACCGAAUAUGACCAAGGCCGACAUCAGUCUUGGUGGAAAGUUUUUCGGCUAGGGAUGGACUCGCGGCCUAUCAGCUAGUUGGUGAGGUAACGGCUCACCAAGGCAACGACGGGUAGCCGGCCUGAGAGGGCGACCGGCCACACUGGGACUGAGACACGGCCCAGACUCCUACGGGAGGCAGCAGUGGGGAAUAUUGCGCAAUGGGCGAAAGCCUGACGCAGCGACGCCGCGUGGGGGAUGGAAUGCCUUCGGGUUGUAAACCCCUUUCAGCAGGGACGAAGCGAAAGUGACGGUACCUGCAGAAGAAGCGCCGGCUAACUACGCGCCAGCAGCCGC